UUUUUAAGGAGAAGCAGGUGGAUGAAAAACAUAAGCGACUCAGUGGAGUCUCAGAUGAAUCAUUCCAGACCUCAUCAUGACAGACAUAAAGCUUGUGAUGUGACUGAACCUGUGUAUGACAAUGUAACGAUGAAUCAUUCCAGACCUCAUCAUGACAGACAUAAAGCUUGUGAUGUGACUGAACCUGUGUAUGACAAUGUAACGCUUUCAGCUUGACAGGAAGAGGCUGUAGAAGCUCACCAUUGCGAGCUUAAAGUCCACAUGAAAUCAAAAUUGACUUUAUUUACUUUA